rnacentral:rRNA from 1 species
GACGAACGCUGGCGGCGUGCUUAACACAUGCAAGUCGAACGGAAAGGCCUGCUUUCCCUUGUGGAUUGCGGGUACUCGAGUGGCGAACGGGUGAGUAACACGUGAGUGAUCUGCCCCCAACUUGGGUAUAAGCCUGGGAAACUGGGUCUAAUUCCCGAUAGGACUGCAGGGUGGUGCCUGUGGUGGAAAACGAUUUUCUAGUGGUUGGGGAUGAGCUCGCGGCCUAUCAGCUUGUUGGUGGGGUAAUGGCCUACCAAGGCGGCGACGGGUAGCCGGCCUGAGAGGGUGGACGGCCACAGUGGGACGGAGAUACGGCCCAGACUGCUACGGGAGGCAGCAGUGGGGAAUAUUGCACAAUGGGCGGAAGCCUGAUGCAGCGACGCCGCGUGGGGGAUGACGGCCUUCGGGUUGUAAACUCCUUUCGACCGCGAGGAAGCCACCUGGUUGGAAGGGUGGUGACGGUAGUGGUAGAAGAAGCACCGGCUAACUACGUG